UUUUUUUUAUCCAAAUUAAUUGGGAUGAUUAUUUUUUGUUUAUUUGAAUGGUGCUUACCGACUGAACUACCUGCUGCCCCAACCCUUGAAGUGAGUGUUUGACCAGAACUUUCCCUCUCUUCUUCCAUAUGAUUUCUUCGUCUUCUUCUUCCUCUCCUCUGCAAUUCAAGCCAGAGCUCAUAAGCCAAGAUAACAAUAAAUCUAAGCAACCCUAUUCUUAGCAAAAUCUAAUGCUUGGCAUGGGGGGCAGCACUAAUCUUGAUUUCUUAAGGUUUCUUGUCUUAAUACCAUUCUGUCUCCCUCUCACCUCUGCAGCAGCAGAAACCUCCACUUCAAACAUAUGCCCUAUGGACCUUAACUAUGUCUUACGAAUCCCAUGGAACAAUACUCUUUGUCGAAACUUCAACCCUCUUGCUCAAAAUGACAAUUCCACCACCACAAUCAAGGCCCAAUGUUGCCAAGCCAUACUCUCCCUCUUUGGGGUUGCCCUAUCUCAACAUCUCAAAGAAACCUCUUUUUUUCAACUUCCAAACUUAGCUACCUCUAGUUCUUGCCUUCAAGAUUACCAGUCAAAGCUCAGCUCUCUUUCUCUUUCCGACAAUCUUGUCUCACACUGCUUUAACCCUUUACAGUUUGUUACAGCACCUAACAUCUGUGCCCGUAUAGAGACAUCUCAAGACUGGGUUGAUCAGCUUGGUAAGUCGACUUCUCUUGAUUCAGAUUGCCGGUCUGAUCUUACUGAUCUUACAGCUUGUGCUUCUUGUCUUAGAGCUGGUUUUACAGUACAGUCGUUGUUGGUGUAUGCUGAUGGUAAUCAAACUCAUGCUCAAGAUUGUUUUUACUUUGCUGUUCUUUAUGCUGCUGGUAUUGUUAACGAGUUUGGUCCUGAAAGUGAUGGUGUUGUUUCAUGUAUAUUUGGUUUGGAAUUGAAUUCAAGUGUUGGUUCAGCUAGCAAUUCUCAUUCUGCUCUUGUUUUUGGCUUGACUUGUGCUGGUGUUGCUAUUUUGGUAAUGUCUAGUUUGUUAGGAUUGUAUCUUUGGUAUGAUAAGAAAUGGAGAAGGAAAAAGAAUCUAGGCUUUGGUUUUGACUUAGAUGAACAACAAGGGUUUAGGCCUAAACUGAGGCCGAAUACAGGGUCAAUUUGGUUUAAAAUUCAGGAUCUUGAGAAGGCAACAGACAAUUUCUCGCAGAAGAAUUUUAUUGGGAGAGGCGGGUUUGGUUUUGUUUACAAGGGGGUUUUAUCUGAUGGGACUGUGGUGGCUGUUAAAAGGGUUAUAGAAUCUGAUUUUCAAGGUGAUGCAGAGUUUUGCAAUGAGGUUGAGAUUAUUAGCAACUUGAAGCACAGGAAUUUGGUGCCCCUCAGAGGGUGCUGUGUGAUUGACGAUGAUGUAAAUUCUGAUGAGAGAGGCAAUCAGAGGUAUCUUGUUUAUGAUUACAUGUCAAAUGGGAAUCUUGAUGACCAUUUAUUUCCAUCAUCGGUUAAUCAAAUUCAAAAGCAAUUGUUAAGUUGGCCUCAAAGAAAGAGCAUAAUUUUGGAUGUGGCAAGGGGAUUAGCUUAUUUGCACUAUGGAGUCAAGCCCAGGAUAUAUCAUAGAGAUAUCAAGGGGACAAAUAUAUUGUUAGAUGCUGAUAUGAGAGCAAGAGUUGCCGAUUUUGGGUUGGCAAAGCAAAGUAGGGAAGGGCAGUCUCAUCUUACUACAAGAGUGGCUGGAACUCAUGGGUACUUAGCACCCGAAUAUGCUCUUUAUGGUCAACUGACUGAGAAGAGCGAUGUUUAUAGCUUUGGGGUGGUUGUUUUGGAGAUAAUGUGUGGGAGAAAAGCUCUUGAUUUGUCUUCUUCAGGGUCACCUCGUGCGUUGUUGAUCACAGACUGGGCCUGGUCAUUGGUGAAAGCUGGAAAAGUGGAACAGGCUUUGGAUGCUUCUUUGUUGAGAGGUGGUGAUUCUUCAAACUCAAAUCCGAAGGGGACAAUGGAAAGGUUUGUGCUGGUUGGGAUUUUGUGUGCUCAUAUAAUGGUGGCUCUAAGGCCAACCAUUCUGGAUGCGCUGAAAAUGUUAGAAGGAGAUAUUGAAGUUCCACAGAUUCCAGAUCGACCAGUGCCUCUUGGGCACCCUUCGUUCCAUGCUGAUGGCAAUAAUUUCAGCAUCUCACCAGUAUUGAGUGGACCAAAAUUACAGUCUGGAGACAUGCUUAGCAGAGAUCUUCAUUGACGAAAUACAUGCAACAGCAACAGCACAGCUUCCUAGUCUUCUGCAGCUUUCUAAGACAUUUCAUCAACACUCCUCUUUGUCUUAACAGCAGCAGAUACCAAGCUUUCUUCGUAAAUCUUCAAAACUUGCUUUUGGAAGAGCUUUUGUUAGAACAUCUGCAAUCUGGUCAUUAGUUCUGCAAUAUAGCAGACUUGAAGAUGCAAUUCACUUGCACAAUGCAUAAAACGUGACAGCAAGCUCACAGCAAAUGCAAUGUCUGAUCUUGUAGCUCUUUCCAUGUGAAAUUUCUUCAAUAUCUCUUUAGCAUAUUUCUGUUGACAUAUGAAGAUUCCAUCAUCACUUUGUUUCACCUCCAUUCCAAGGAAGUAAGACAUCAACCCGAGAUCUGUCAUCUCAAACACAUCAAACAUCUCUGCCUUGAAUUCUUCAAUUUGUGUCUUAUUACUUCCUGUUACAAAUGAUCAUCAAUUCUGCUAUACCAUGCUCUAGGAGCUUGUUUAAGGCCAUACAAAGCCUUUUUCAGCAGCAACUGCAAGUAGUAAUCUGAUUGUGUCCAAGCGUGCUACUGGUGCAAACGUUUCUGAAAAAUCCACACCAAACACUUGAGCAUAGCCCUUCACAACUAAUCUGGCUUUGUAUUUGUUUAUAGAACCAUCUGCAUUUUGUUUGGUUCUAUAAACCCAUUUGACUCCUAUGGCCUUCUUGUGUAAAGGCUUGUCCAUCAGCACCCAUGUAUCAUUCUUUUCAAUCAUUCUAAGUUCCUCUUGCAUUGCUUCAAUCCAUUCACUCUUCUUUACUGCUUCUUCAAAUUCUGCAGGUUCACAGAUAGCAAUAUUGCUACUUUCAUAAAUUUCAGCUAAUGAUCUUGUACCUCUUACUGGUUCAUCGUCAAAGUUGUCAUUAGUAAUCUCCAAGAUUGGAGAUUCUUGCUUCUCUGUUGAUGAUUCCAGCUUUUCUUCUGGUUGCUCCCACUUCCAUUGCUUAUCUUCCAUAAAGUUGACGUCUCUACUUACCAGAAUUCUUCCAUUUUGAGGCUGGAAGAUUCUGUAAGCUUUUGAUGGACUGUUGUAUCCAAUGAAUACUCCUGGUUCUGACUUCUUAUCCAGCUUAUCUCUUUUCACCUGUGGUACAUGAGUGAAACAAAUACAACCAAAAAUUUUUAAAUGUUGCAGGUCUGGUUUGUAUCCAAACCAAGCUUCAAAAGGAGUUUUUUUCUGCAAGGCUCUGGUUGGCAUUCUGUUCAGCAGAUACACUGAGGUGCAGUAAGCUGAUGUUCAAUUCCAGAUUCAUCACAGAAUUGUUGAAAUCUCCCACAGUGAAGCUGUACUCAAAGGACCUCCAACGUCUGUAUGUACCAGCUGAAGUUUUCGUGUUGCUCUCCAGGUUGCAUGAGGGAAAGGUUUUCUGGCCUGCUUACCAUAUUGACAUGCUGCACAGUUUGCUGACCUGUUCUCCAGUUGUGGUACUCCUUUUACAAGAGUAUGUUUUUGCAUAUACAUAAGCCCUGCAUGAUGAAAGUGUCCAACUCUUUUAUGCCACAAUUCGUCACUGCAUGUUUUUGCAGAAAACACACUCUGCUCCUUCUCCAUAAGGUUUAAAGUAAAACCUUUUGAUUUCAUUUUUACCCUGAACACGUUGUUGCCCAAGUUGUCUUUGAUCAGACACCAUUGAUCUUCAAAACUUAAUUUGAAACCUUUUUCCAUAAGCUGUCCAACACUAAGCAAGUUUUGAUCAAUGUCAGGCACAUAUAAAACAUCUGAAAUAUACUUCAAACCUGACAAACUGUUUAAGACAACAAUUCCUUUGCCUUUGACAUCAAUGUAAUCACCAUUUCCAAUUUUAACUUUGGAAAUAGUCGUUCUGUCAAGUUCUUUAAACAAAUCCUGAUUGUUUGUCAUGUGGUUUGUGCAGCCACUAUCAAUCAACCAAGAAUCAUUCGAACUAUUUCCUGUUGAAAAACAUGAUGCAACAAACAGCUGCUCCUCUUCAGGUUGUUGUGCAACAAGAUUCGCCUUUUCUUCAUUUUGUUGUGUCCUGCAGAUUUUUUCAACAUGUCCAAUCUGUCCACAUUUUCUGCACUUGAUAUCUGGUCUCCACCAGCACUUGAUCGGCUGAUGAUUUGUUUUUUUACAGUAGGUACAUGGUGGAAAUGUUUCCACCUUGUUUCUGUACGUUUGAACCUUUUUCUUCUUGAUGAAUCUCCUGUCUUUGCCUCCUCCUUGA